GUCCCGGGACCCACCCAGGCGGAGGCAAGGGCAGGGGCGCUGGGGGCCCAGAGAGAGGGCGCCGCGAUGGAUGAAUGAGCUGUUUCCAGCAUUCCUGUGCGUCUGCUGGUUGUAGCUGCAGUCAAGAUUUGGGGCGGUCUCGUUUGUUGUGGGUGGGUGAUCUGGGAUCACGAUUUUCUCACUCUGUGCCCGGAAAUCAUGCCAUCUCUCGCCCAACGCUGUAUUUUAUAGGCUUCAACUCAAAAUUUUCCUUCAUGGCACAGUGGAAAGCUUUGAAGACGGCGGUUCUGGGGCUGAAUAUGAAGGCAACUCGGACUAAGAAGACGACUGCUUUCCAACUGCCCUCCCGUCCUGCAGCCGCCUGAUUUGAGGAAGGGGCUGGGAUCCUUCCCCUUGCCCUCUGGUUGUUCUUGGAGUUACAGCAGCCCCGCGGCAGCUCUGCCCCCUAGUGCACAUGUGAGGCAGCGCGCCCUUCUCCAAUCCAGAAGCCUCGUCGCGGUGCUGCCAGCAAGGGAGUUUUUCUGUAUUCACUUUGGUGGAAAUAGCAAAACUUGACAGAAAAAAAACCCAAGCCAAACCAAAACACACGAACCAUUCUAGCCUUUUCUCUCUUUCGUUUCUUUCUGAGGAUCUGGCCGAUUUGGAUGCAGAAAACAUGCCUGUUGCUUCUGCUGCGAAA
rnacentral:lncRNA from 1 species